CCUACGGGAGGCAGCAGUAGGGAAUAUUGGGCAAUGGGCGCAAGCCUGACCCAGCGACGCCGCGUGAGGGAUGAAGGUCUUCGGAUUGUAAACCUCUUUCAGUAGGGAAGAAGCGAAAGUGACGGUACCUAAAGAAGAAGCACCGGCUAACUAUGUGCCAGCAGCCGCGGUAAUACAUAGGGUGCAAGCGUUGUCCGGAAUUAUUGGGCGUAAAGAGCUCGUAGGUUGUUUGUCGCGUCGAUUGUGAAAAUCUGAGGCUCAACCUCAGACCUGCAGUCGAUACGGGCAGACUAGAGUGUGGUAGGGGAGACUGGAAUUCCUGGUGUAGCGGUGGAAUGCGCAGAUAUCAGGAGGAACACCAAUGGCGAAGGCAGGUCUCUGGGCCAUAACUGACACUGAGGAGCGAAAGUGCGGGGAGCGAACAGGAUUAGAUACCCUGGUAGUCCGCACCGUAAACGGUGGGCACUAGUUGUGGGAACCUUCCACGGUUUCCGCGACGCAGCAAACGCAUUAAGUGCCCCGCCUGGGGAGUACGAUCGCAAGAUUAAAACUCAAAGGAAUUGACGG
rnacentral:rRNA from 1 species